rnacentral:rRNA from 1 species
UGAGGAAUUUUGCGCAAUGGGAGCAAUCCUGACGCAGCAACGCCGCGUGGGUGAUGAAGGCCUUCGGGUCGUAAAGCCCUGUCAGGUGGGAAGAAUGUCCCGUGAGCGAACAGUUUGCGGGAGUGACGGUACCACCAGAGGAAGCACCGGCUAACUCCGUGCCAGCAGCCGCGGUAAUACGGAGGGUGCAAGCGUUAUUCGGAAUUACUGGGCGUAAAGCGCGUGUAGGCGGUCCUGCAAGUCUGAUGUGAAAGCCCCGGGCGUAACCCGGGAAGUGCAUUGGAAACUGCAGGUCUUGAGUAAUGGAGAGGAUGGGGGAAUUCCCGGUGUAGAGGUGAAAUUCGUAGAGAUCGGGAGGAAUAUCAGUGGCGAAGGCGCCCAUCUGGACGGUAACUGACGCUGAGACGCGAAAGCGUGGGGAGCAAACA